rnacentral:sRNA from 1 species
UUUUUGUUUGUUUUUU